AGAAUCAACGCUGGCGGCGUGCCUAACACAUGCAAGUCGAACGAGAAAGUGGGAGCAAUCCCACGAGUAAAGUGGCGCACGGGUGAGUAACACGUGACUAACCUACCCUUGAGUGGGGGAUAACCUAGGGAAACCUGGGCUAAUACCGCAUAAUACCUACGGGUCAAAGGAGCAAUUCGCUUUAGGAGGGGGUCGCGACAGAUUAGUUAGUUGGCGGGGUAAUGGCCCACCAAGACAGUGAUCUGUA
rnacentral:rRNA from 1 species